rnacentral:rRNA from 1 species
ACACUCCUACGGGAGGCAGCAGUAGGGAAUCUUCCACAAUGGGUGCAAACCUGAUGGAGCAAUGCCGCGUGAGUGAAGAAGGUCUUCGGAUCGUAAAGCUCUGUUGUUAGAGAAGAACACGUGCUAGGUAACUACUAGCGCCUUGACGGUAUCUAACCAGAAAGUCACGGCUAACUACGUGCCAGCAGCCGCGGUAAUACGUAGGUGACAAGCGUUGUCCGGAUUUAUUGGGCGUAAAGGGAGCGCAGGCGGUCUGUUUAGUCUAAUGUGAAAGCCCACGGCUUAACCGUGGAACGGCAUUGGAAACUGACAGACUUGAAUGUAGAAGAGGAAAAUGGAAUUCCAAGUGUAGCGGUGGAAUGCGUAGAUAUUUGGAGGAACACCAGUAGCGAAGGCGAUUUUCUGGUCUAACAUUGACGCUGAGGCUCGAAAGCGUGGGGAGCGAACAGGAUUAGAUACCCGUGUAGUCCCA